GAGUUUGAUCAUGGCUCAGAAUGAACGCUGGCCGCGUGCUUAACACAUGCAAGUCGAACGGUAACAGGGACUUCGGUCUGCUGACGAGUGGCGCACGGGUGAGUAAUAUAUAGAUAAUGUGCCCCUUAGUCUGGGAUAGCCAUUGGAAACGAUGAUUAAUACUAGAUAUUCCUUUUAUACAUAAGUGUAAUUGGGAAAGGUUUUUCGCUAAGGGAUCAGUCUAUAACCUAUCAGUUAGUUGGUGAGGUAAGAGCUCACCAAGGCAAUGACGGGUAGCGGGUUUGAGAGGAUGAUCCGCCACACUGGUACUGAGACACGGACCAGACUCCUACGGGAGGUAGCAGUGAGGAAUAUUGCACAAUGGGGGAAACCCUGAUGCAGCAACGCCGCGUGGAGGAUGACGCAUUUCGGCGUGUAAACUCCUUUUAUCAGAGAAGAACAUGACGGUAUCUGAUGAAUAAGCUCCGGCUAACUCCGUGCCAGCAGCCGCGGUAAUACGGAGGGAGCAAGCGUUAUUCGGAAUCACUGGGCGUAAAGGACGCGUAGGCGGGUUGUUAAGUCUGAUGUGAAAUCCUAUGGCUCAACCAUAGAACUGCAUUGGAAACU
rnacentral:rRNA from 1 species